rnacentral:rRNA from 1 species
GACGAACGCUGGCGGCGUGCCUAAUACAUGCAAGUAGAACGCACAGUUUAUACCGUAGCUUGUUACACCAUAGACUGUGAGUUGCGAACGGGUGAGUAACGCGUAGGUAACCUGCCUGGUAGCGGGGGAUAACUAUUGGAAACGAUAGCUAAUACCGCAUAAUAUUAAUUAUUGCAUGAUAAUUAAUUGAAAGGUGCAAUUGCACCACUACCAGAUGGACCUGCGUUGUAUUAGCUAGUAGGUGAGGUAACGGCUCACCUAGGCGACGAUACAUAGCCGACCUGAGAGGGUGAUCGGCCACACUGGGACUGAGACACGGCCCAGACUCCUACGGGAGGCAGCAGUAGGGAAUCUUCGGCAAUGGACGAAAGUCUGACCGAGCAACGCCGCGUGAGUGAAGAAGGUUUUCGGAUCGUAAAGCUCUGUUGUAAGAGAAGAACGGGUGUGAGAGUGGAAAGUUCACACUGUGACGGUAUCUUACCAGAAAGGGACGGCUAACUACGUG